AGUGAACGCUGGCGGCAGGCCUAACACAUGCAAGUCGAGCGGCAGCGCGGGGGCAACCCUGGCGGCGAGCGGCGGACGGGUGAGGAAUUCGUCGGAAUCUGCCUUUUUGUGGGGGAUAACGUAGGGAAACUUACGCUAAUACCGCAUACGUCCUACGGGAGAAAGUGGGGGACCGCAAGGCCUCACGCAGAAAGAUGAGCCGACGACCGAUUAGCUAGUUGGUGGGGUAAAGGCCCACCAAGGCGACGAUCGGUAGCUGGUCUGAGAGGAUGAUCAGCCACACUGGGACUGAGAAACGGCCCAGACUCCUACGGGAGGCAGCAGUGGGGAAUAUUGGACAAUGGGCGCAAGCCUGCUCCAGCCAUGCCGCGUGUGUGAAGAAGGCCUUCGGGUUGUAAAGCACUUUUGUCCGGAAAGAAAUCCCUGGAGCUAAUACCUUCGGGGGAUGACGGUACCGGAAGAAUAAGCACCGGCUAACUUCGUG
rnacentral:rRNA from 1 species